rnacentral:rRNA from 1 species
UACGGAGGGUGCAAGCGUUAUCCGGAUUCACUGGGUUUAAAGGGUGCGUAGGUGGGAAUGUAAGUCAGUGGUGAAAUCUCCGUGCUUAACAUGGAAACUGCCAUUGAUACUAUGUUUCUUGAAUUUUCUGGAGGUAAGCGGAAUAUGUCAUGUAGCGGUGAAAUGCUUAGAUAUGACAUAGAACACCAAUUGCGAAGGCAGCUUACUACAGGGACAUUGACGCUCAUGCACGAAAGCGUGGGGAUCAAACAGG